UCGAGAAUCUUUCGCAAUGGGCGCAAGCCUGACGAAGCGACGCCGUGUGAGCGAAGAAGGCCUUCGGGUUGUAAAGCUCUUUCGCUAGGGAACAAGAAAGGAGUACUAAUACUGCUCCGAUUUGAGGGUACUUGGUAAAGAAGCACCGGCUAACUCCGUGCCAGCAGCUGCGGUAAUACGGAGGGUGCAAGCAUUGAUCGGAAUUACUGGGCGUAAAGGGCGCGUAGGCGGACCGGAAAGUCAAAUGUGAAAUUCCACGGCUCAACCGUGGAGCUGCAUUUGAAACUUCCAGUCUCGAGCAUAGUUAGGGAAAACGGAAUUCCACGUGUAGCGGUGAAAUGCGUAGAUAUGUGGAAGAACACCAGUGGUGAAGACGGUUUUCUGGGCUAUUGCUGACGCUGAGGCGCGAAAGCUAGGGGAGCAAACAGGAUUAGAUACCCCUGUAGUCC
rnacentral:rRNA from 1 species